CAUGCAUGUGAUGAAUUAAUUUAUCAUAAAUACAUUUUGAAUGUGUGAUUUUUCACAGCCCUGUCAGAAUGACGACCUGCUGCCUGACUCCCUGUGAGAUCAGUAACGCUCUGACUUGGCUUUUGUGUCCAAACCCUGUUCAUGUGGAGACUUCAGUGAAAGUUCUGGGUGAGGAGGCUCAGGAGAGGAAGUGUUCACUAGCUGAAACUUUUCUUCAGCACAUUCACGGAGAACAAUGCAUUCAAGUGCUUAUGCAGCUACUAAAUUCUCAGGACGCAUGGCUGUGCAGUAUGGCGGUUUAUAUCUUUGGGGUGCUUUUGGAGAAUGAAGACAUGGUGCAGAAGCUUCAGGAGUGGACUCAUGGGGACAACGGUCUCUGCUGGGCCUUAGGACAACUCCUGGAGAAAGAUGAGCAUGACGUGGUCUUAAAUGCGGCUGGUGCCAUUGCAUCACUGGUUGAGACCCCCUCGGGACGUCAGUGGCUGCUUCAAGACAGUUCAGUGUUCAGUCAAGUCCUUGAGAACGUGACGUGUCUCCUCAUUCACGAAAGAGAGAAUGCAGUUAACUCAGCUGCUCUUAUUCUGGCCUGGCUGUCUCUGUGCGAGACGGCGUGCCAAAAGCUUCUUUCUCAUUCCUCAGCUUCUAAAAUCCUAAGCCGCCUAGCACACUGUCUCGCCUACAGCCACAAAGGUCAGUAUCAUGGAGAAGGAUCCCUUGGGCUAUAAAAUACUGAAAGUACUGUCCAGUAACAUUGGUCACAUUGGGUUGGGUUGUUAACAUUAUUAUGCACAAACUGUGGGGCUUGAAUUAUUCUCUCAUUAAGGUAGAGUCCUGGAGGACUACAUGUAGCACAUGUAGAUGUUUUAUCUUCUUAUGUACUAGAUUGAUUUAUCUUAGCUGGAUUGUUGUGUUGGAAAAAGUUUGGAAAAAGUUGUACAGGACUCUAGCAGUUUGUCAGAACGAAUGACUGUAGAAAAGCAUGGACAGCAUAAUGUCUUUCAAAAGUCUGCACUGCACUUUUACUAAGGAAACAAUGCUCUCACUAAAAAAAAACUUCUAGUACUGUAGGCUGUAGGCUCAAUGAAGGUGGUAUUCAAU
rnacentral:lncRNA from 1 species